rnacentral:rRNA from 1 species
UGAGCCUACGGGGGGCAGCAGUGGGGAAUAUUGCACAAUGGGGGGAACCCUGAUGCAGCGACGCCGCGUGAGUGAAGAAGUAUUUCGGUAUGUAAAUCUCUAUCAGCAGGGAAGAAGAUGACGGUACCUGACUAAGAAGCCCCGGCUAACUACGUGCCAGCAGCCGCGGUAAUACGUAGGGGGCAAGCGUUAUCCGGAUUUAUUGGGUUUAAAGGGUGCGUAGGCGGACAGUCAAGUCAGCGGUAAAAAUGCGGUGCUCAACCCCGUACUGCCGUUGAAACUGCAUCCCUUGAGUGCGCGAGAAG